AUGAAGAGUUUGAUUCUGGCUCAGGAUGAACGCUGGCGGCAUGCCUAAUACAUGCAAGUCGAACGAAACCUCGAAGUGCUUGCACUUCAUUUGGUUUAGUGGCGAACGGGUGAGUAACACGUAGGAAACCUGCCCCAAAGACGAGGAUAACUGUGAGAAAUUACAGCUAAUACUGGAUAGGUAGUAAAAUCGCAUGAUUUAACUAUUAAAGAGGCUCUUGGCCUUGCUUUGGGAUGGUCCUGCGGUGCAUUAGCUAGUUGGUAGGGUAAUGGCCUACCAAGGCGAUGAUGCAUAGCCGACCUGAGAGGGUGAUCGGCCACACUGGGACUGAGACACGGCCCAGACUCCUACGGGAGGCAGCAGUAGGGAAUAUUUCACAAUGGGCGAAAGCCUGAUGGAGCAAUGCCGCGUGUGUGAUGAAGGCUUUCGGGUCGUAAAGCACUGUUAUAAGGGAAGAACAUGUAGAUCAGGAAAUGGGUUUGCACUGACGGUACCUUAUCAGAAAGGGACGGCUAACUACGUGCCAGCAGCCGCGGUAAUACGUAGGUCCCAAGCGUUAUCCGGAAUUAUUGGGCGUAAAGGGUCCGUAGACGGUUUAUUAAGUCUGGUGUGAAAUAUGAUGGCUCAACCAUCAAAACGCAUUAGAUACUGGUGAACUAGAGUAUGUUAGAGGAUAGUGGAAUUCCAUGUGUAGCGGUGAAAUGCGUAGAUAUAUGGAGGAACACCAGUGGCGAAGGCGGCUAUCUGGGACAUUACUGACGUUGAGGGACGCAAGCGUGGGGAGCAAACAGGAUUAGAUACCCUGGUAGUCCACGCCGUAAACGAUGAGUGCUAGUCGUAUGGUAACAUGUGACGAAGUUAACGCAAUAAGCACUCCGCCUGGGGAGUACGCACGCAAGUGUGAAACUCAAAGAAAUUGACGGGGAACCGCACAAGCGGUGGAGCAUGUGGUUUAAUUUGAUGAUACGCGUAUAACCUUACCUACACUUGACAUCCAACUAAAGCCUAAGAGAUUAGGAAAUAUAGAGUUGAGACAGGUGGUGCAUGGCCGUCGUCAGUUCGUGUCGUGAGAUGUUCAGUUAAGUCUGGCAACGAACGUAACCCUUGCCACUAUUUGCUAACAUUAAGUUGAGGACUAUAGUGGGACUGCCUGGGCAACCAGGAGGAAGAUGAGGACGACGUCAGGUCAUCAUGCCCCUUAUGUGUAGGGCUACACACGUGCUACAAUGGAUACUACAAUAAGAUGCAAUAUGGCGACAUGGAGCUAAUCUAUAAAGGUAUUCUCAGUUCGGAUAGGAGUCUGCAACUCGACUCCUUGAAGUCGGAAUCGCUAGUAAUCGUGAAUCAGCAUGUCACGGUGAAUACGUUCUCGGUUCUUGUACACACCGCCCGUCACAUCACGAGAGUCUGUAACACCCAAAGUCGUUAUGGUAACCUUACGGAGCCAGGCGCCUACGGUGGGACCGAUGAUUGGGAUGAAGUCGUAACAAGGUAUCCCUACCGGAAGGUGGGGAUGGAUUACCUCCUU
rnacentral:rRNA from 1 species